AAAAUUAAAAUUAAAAAGUAAUAUAUUUUAGUGAUCAUGGGUCAUUGAUAUCAUGGCUAUUGUGAGAGAAUAGUAAGCAAAUCAGUACCCUUCAUAGCCAUAUAUUCCUUGAUUAAGGACAUCCCGAAACUUAUCAGGUAUUCACAGUCUAUCAUCCAGUCACAAAUUAAGAGGCUGAGGAAGAAAAGCAAAAGUCCUGGAAAAUGAUCUAACCAAAAAAGGCACAGGUAAAAAUAAUCCCACUGUUGGAAUAAGGACCAGAGUGAGAUGAUGAUGGGACUUAGGGCAUGAGCACCAAAUCUGAUUUAAUCACCAUCCCUCCUGUGAGGACCUUACACACUCAUUUCAUUUGUGCUGCCAACAGCCCUAUUAAAUAGCCACAUAAUCAGCAGCAUCUUCAUUUUCCAGAACAAUACCUAAGACACAAAGGAGCUAAGUUAACUUGUCCAUGACCAUGAAACUAAUCAGCAUCCCGUAUCUUUCAAUACCCUGGCCAGAGCCUGCACAGAUUUCUAUUAUUCUUUUUGUGCCUUUCACUUCUGUAUCAAUAAUAUAUAACUGGUUCUCCAGCAGAAACUUGAGUAUAACUCAAACCUCUACUUGUACCUGAUGAAUAAAUGACAUUGAAUUUAGGACACAAGUAGUAGGGAAGAUUACCUUUGCAGUGGGUAGAAUCCAAAUUGACUUUACCCGCCACAAAUUGGGACAUCUUCCAAGUGCACAGGCCCAAUUUCAGAGCAGGAAGGCAUCUCAUCUAUCCUGAUGUCCGGAAUCUAUUCUGAGGCAUGAUUCUCUUCUGUAAGCACACUAUACUUCUUUGAAUCUCUUCUUUCACUGUAACAGAAUAGCACUCCUGUGACACUUGGGGAAUCCCUUCACAGCCAGUGUGAGAGGGAGUAAUAAGAAACUCUUUUUUUUUUUUUUUCCUAAGAAGGGCAAAGUGUCCACACUUUGGUCUUCCUUCUUCUUGAGUUUCAUGUGUUUUGAAAUGAUCUAGCCAAACAAGGCACAGUUAAAAAUAAUACCACUGUUGGAAUAAGGACCAGAAUGAGAUGAUGAUGGGACUUAGGGCACGAGCACCAAAUCUGAUUCAAUCAGUAUCCCUCCUGUGAGGACCUUACACACUCAUGAUUUCAUUUGUGCUGCCAACAGCCCUAUUAACAGUUACAUCAGUGAGUACAUAUCAUGUGAGUUCUUUUGUGAUUGGGUUACCUCACUCAGGUUGCUACCCUCCAGAUUCAUUCCAUUUGCCUAGGAAUUUCAUAAAUUCAUUGUUUUUAAUAGCUGAGUAGUACUUCAUUGUGUAAAUGUACCACAUCUUCUGUAUCCAUUCCUCUGUUGAGGGACAUCUGUGUUCUAUGAACAUAGUGGAGCAUGCGUUCUUAUUACCAAUUGGAACAUCUACUGCAUAUAUGCCCAGGAGACUUAUUGCUGGAUCCUCUGGUAGUACUAUGUCCAAUUUUCUGAGGAACUGCCAGACUGAUCUCCAGAGUGGUUGUACCAGCUUGCAAUCCUACCAACAAUGGAGAAGUGUUCCUCUUUCUCCACAUCCUCACCAGCAUCUGCUGUCACCUGAAUUUUUGAUGUUAGCCAUUCUGACUGGUGUGAGAUGGAAUCUCAGGAUUGUUUGAUUUGCAUUUUCCUGAUGAUUAAGGAUGUUGAACAUUUUUUUCAGGUGCUUCUCAGCCAUUUGAUAAUCUUCAGUUGAGAAAUCUUUGUUUAGCUCUGUGCCCCAUUUUUUAAUGGGGUUAUUUGAUUUUCUGGAGACCACCUUCUUGAGUUCUAAUUGGGAACAAAACACCCAUGGAAGGAGUUACAGAGACAAUGUUUGGAGCUGAGAGGAAAGGAUGGACCAUCCAGAGACUGCCCCACCCAGGGAUCCAUCCCAUAAUCAGCCACCAAAUGCAGACACUAUUGCAUACACCAGGAAGAUUUUGCUGAAAGGACCCUGAUAUAGCUGUCUCUUGUGAGGCUAUGCCAGUGCCUGGAAAAUACAGAAGUGGAUGCUCACAGCCAGCUAAUGGAUGGGACACAGGGUCCCCAAUGGAGGAGCUAGAAAAAGUACCCAAGGAGCUGAAGGGGUCUGCCACCCUAUAGGUGGAACAACAAUAUGAACUAACCAGUACCCCCAGAGCUCGAGUCUCUGGCUGCAUAUGUAGCAGAAGAUGGCCUAGUCGGCCAUCAUUGAGAAGAGAGGCCCCUUGGUCUUGCAAACUUUAUAUGCCCCAGUACAGGGGAACUCCAGGGCCAAGAAGUGGGAGUGGGUGGGUAGGGGAACAGGGGCAGGGGAGGGUAUAGGAGACUUUUGGAAUAGCAUUUGAAAUGUAAAUGAAGAAAAUACCUAAUAACAAAUUGAAAAAAGAAAAAAAAAAGAAACUUGUUGUUGUUGUUAAUCUGUUUGGAAGGGCAACUGCUCUAGGCUAAUAGCUAAAAUUCUCACAGAUUAGAGAUGAAACUGAAACUGCUGCUUUGCAGGAUUCGGAUGUGAUUCAUGUGAAAACUUCAAACUACAAAGUUGCCUUAGAAGAUGUGUCCUCGUCCUAGAAUCUGGAGAGAGAUAAAGAUAUAAGUAGAUACAGAUUCACAGAAGUUAGAAGAAACAGGAAAAGAGAAUGUGGAGAGUAUUAUUCCAUGCAGUGAGAGGGGACAUAGGCAAUGGUGGUAUGCUGCAAACUGUCUAGGCGUUUGUAUCAAAAAAACCAAUGGAUUAGCAAUAAAUGCCAUAGGAACAGAUUUGGCACUUCCUAGUAAAUGCCAGUAGGAAACAUGCCUUGUGUCUUCCUUACUCCUGACAUUGUCUAAGAUUCUAAUUUUGUAUCUGGGAUUCCUUUGUGUAAGACAGUUUUCCAUGAAUACAUCACAGUUUGGCAUGGCAUGGGACCCCAGAAUUAAAAUUCUUGCUGACAUUGUUUCUGAGACUAUCCGUCUAGUAACUGUCCUUGGAGAGUAAAUACAAUUCUUUCCAAAUCAGAGGACAGUUUGUUUCUAAUGGGGAUAAGGAACAGAAUAUGGCUUGUGAUUUGACUUCGGCAUUCCAACACAAGCUCAGAUUUUAGGUGCUUUUGGGGGAUUCAGGAAGUAAAAAAGUGGAAGGCUGUACUGAGUAUAUAUUAUCCUCCAUUCUCUUUGACUCCUAUUUGUGUGUUGGUGAGAAUCCCACUAUAGUCUCCCAUUGCCAUGAUGUUCUUGCUUUAGCAGUGGAACCAAGCAACCACAGAUGAAACUCUAUGGAACAUGAGUUGAAAAAAUACCCUUCCUUCUAUUAAGUAGCUUAUGUCAGGCAUUGCUGUCACAAUGAUAAGGAAAGUUAACUGACAUAACUUUCUCCCUAGGAAUGUUCCACACGACCUCUCUCAUCUUCCCAAAGACAUGACCACAUGGAAGGAUGAGUUCAAUGGCCCCAUCUCCUCAAAGAAGAGGAUGGGAAGGUAACCAACCACCUUGAUGAGAUCAAAGCAUUUCCUCACUUGAAGUGUCUGGUCCACUCUUGGAUAUAACCCAUACAUACUCAAGUGUCAUCUUGCCUUUCUCAUGAAAUACUGUUUGCACUGAGACCACAACCAACAUAAGAAAUCACUGUUAAAUUCUUGUUAUAAACAGUGUCUUUAUGUUUGAUUAAAAUAUUAUGACUUUUACAUUUUUAUGUGUUUUACGUGCACGUAUAUCUGUACAACCAACACUUGCAUGUCUGGUGUCUAUGGAAGCCAGAAGCAGGGGUUAAAUUGCCUUGAACUGGGAUCACAUAUAAUUGUAAGCUACCGUGUGGGCGCUGGGAAUCAAGUCCAGGUCUGCUUAUAAGAAGCAUAGAAGAGUGACAUAUGCUUCUAACCACCAAACCAUCUCUCUAGUCUCCAAUCCUAUGCUUUUUGAUCCAUGUGUAUACCGGAAGAUAUCUAUAUUUAUGUACAUAGUAUCUACUGGUGACAGAAUUACUAGCCUAUAAGCAGGCUACAGACUCACAUGCAGAAUCAUGGCUUCUAGCUUCAUAAUCCCAAGUCUCAGCACAGUGAUCUUUCCACUGAAAAGUCAGCAAUGUGUUGUCAUACCUGGAGUUGUGGCAUUCCUUACUGCUUAGUACCACCUGCUGCUACCCAGACAUUAGAUCCUUGAGACAUAGGACCCCAAGUCCCCUCAGAUAUUUACAUUCUCACAAUAAUCCCCUACCUGAUAUCACGUAUUAACAAAAUGAGUGAGUAUCAGAACUUCUCCUUCCUCUAUAUUUCCUUCCUUAAGUCCUCCAUCUGGUAGUCAUGAAAAGCAAUCUUGCAAGGUACUAGAGAGAUACUCAAAGAUACUAUGGAAUGUCCCAACUGGAAACAGCAGAGGGAGACCCUGCCAUGGCUAGAAUUGAAGAAUUGACCCAGGGAGCAGGAUGACAAAAUUCCAGCAAAAGUAAAAGAAUGGAAAUAUCAGAUGAUAGAAGGGGGAGAGAAAACAGCGGUGGGGAUGAGGUAAAUUCUGAAGGAAAGCACCAUAGAGAAGAAAUUGUGCAGAAAAUUAGUAAAAGAAGGCCCAACCAGGAAGACAAAAUAGCCUCCUCACGAUGCUUAGACAAUACAAGGAUGAAGGUCCUUUUACAUAGCUUGGAUCCUAUUAACAUACCCAUUGAUCACAUGAGAAAACUGAGACCCCAAGAGCUAAGCACAUCUAUUAACUCACCUUUCCCCACCAAGGCCCAGGGAAGCAAAUCUGAGCAAUGCCUAUGUUUUGUCUUCACGUGGCUUAUUUUCUCUCCUGGUUCAUUCUGAGAAGCUGUCACAGGAAGCCUCAGAUUUGCAGUUUCUUAUAGUAAGGGGGGAGGGAGGGGGUGGUGAGGGUUGUCACAUCCAGAAAGACAACUGUGCUGUUUGCCUGGCUGUUGUUUACAAAGGACAGAUCAUGCCAGACACAUACACUGUAUCUUUGACAGGCUUACGAGACAAUGGACCAGAGCAGCCCAGGAACAGUGUGCGUUCGGAUGGUCAAUGAGACAUCUGAAGUUCCUUAGAAAAAUUUCACUUGCAAAUUCAUUCAAAUUGACUAAGAGAGCAGACUAAAGCCUUCCUGAACUUAAAAUAAAUAAAUAAAUAUAAAACAGUAAGAAUGGAGGACUUCCAAGGGAGGAUAUGAGAGUUCAGAGGGGCCCUGAGGAGCCAACACAACUCAUUGCAUCCAGCAUCCAGCAAAGAAAGUCAGGGGAUGGAGAUGGGAAAAGAAAAUCUAGCUUCAUGGCUCUCAGCAACUGCACUAUUUCCCAGGGGCCUCUGCAGAAGAGAAACGCUACUUAACCAACUUCUUGUAGCUACUGCCUAGGAAAGAAGAAACACACACGUUCUGAAGGCACUUGGUGAAUAUGAAGUGUGGUACAAAUGGCAAUAACAAUGUCAAAUUUUAUUUAACAUCCUCAUUAAGGACUCUGAGUGGAACAGGCCAGCUGCUAAUGAAAUCUACACAGUCCUGAAUUGGACUCUGCUGGCAACAGCAGAGCUCAGACAAGCUAACACCCAAGGGUAAGCAAACCCUCCAGGACCGAGGGUUUGGCGUCUCUCAGCUGCCAACCCCUACCAAGGGACCAGAGGGGAAACCCCAUCCUGUAUCUUACCUCUCCAUGCUUUUCCAGGUGAAGUUGGAUUCAAAUACAGGAUGUGAGCUCUCUGCUAUGCCUACCUAAGGCAUGAGAAUAUGUAAAGAGGAUUGGGGGAGCUGUGUCUUAAACUUUAGGAACAGCAUAGCACACUUAGAGAGUAAAGAGCAGUUUCAGUGUCUGUGGAGAAGUCACAAAUGCUCAUCUCAGGGGACUGGGCUAGCAGGUCUAGAUUCCAAGACACUGCAACCUCCUUGCUCUUCUGUCCUCAAAGAAAAUAGUGUGGAAUUAUAAGCCUGCAACUCUAGGCAAGACCAAGGUACCAACAAUCAGCCUAGGGAUCUCAUGGAUGUACCCAUAAGACAACCCAAGCAUCUACAAAAACCACACUCCAUGUGGUCCAUGAUCAGCCCUUUCUUACCUUCUCAUUUAUCGCCACCAUAGGCAUCGCUGCAGUUUACUGAACCACCACCAACCCCCUGACCCUAGGUACAUAAUAUCCCCUAACCAAGAAUGCUCUUCUCUUCUCUCCUUGCCUAGGUUGACAAACCUAUCUUUUUACUGAACUCUGCAAUGCAAUAGCUGCUCUGGCUGUCUGUUUGCCAUGUUUCCAGCAUAUCUUCUAUCACCUCAGCUCACACUUGUUGUCUACUAUCUGUACUAUGCUGAGAGUUGUGGAGAGAACACGACAAUAAUUAGACAGACCUGAUCUCUACUGUUCAAGAAAGGUAGUGGCCUCCUACCCAGCUACAUAUUUGAAUCACAUGAGCAGCUUCCUGUAAAUAUCAUUGUCUUCCCAUUGCAGUGGUCUGAUGAGCAAUAUAUCUCAACACAGUGGUACAAUGGCAGCUUCUCAGAAUGUCCUAGUAAGAUUUAUAAAACACUGAUGUUUGUUCCUGUUACCAGUCAUUUCAAUCAAAGUAUUUGGGAUACAGGCACAAUGGUAUUUUUCAUGUCCCCAAGACAGUCUUGAGAAUGGCCAAGAUUGACAGCCAAUUGUUAACAUGGAGAUAGAUAUCAAUUACCUGCCACAAUGCUAGCAAAGGUAAGCGUUCCUUCUUGCUAGUAUAUAAACUCUUUAAAUAAACUCUUUAAAUGCAAUGAUUUGUAUGCAUUGUCAGGGCCUGUUAUUGGGCAUUGUAUACCACAAUUCCUAUCUAAUAUGUAUAGAAAAGAUGAAAACAAAAGAAUAGCUCUCCUCUGUGUUCUAUAGAGUGUUGGCAUGUUAGAGUUCUAACAAACUGCCACAAAGGGUGUGGCUUAAAUUGUAGAAGAUUUUUAAACCCACAGUGCUAGAGGUCAGACAACCAAAAUCAAAAUGUUGCCAAAGUUGACUCCUCUGAGGGAAUCUAAGGGUGAUUUUGUUCUAACUCUCAUUUCCAAUUUCUGAUAGUUCACUGACAAAUUUUGCCAUUCUUUGGCUUGCAGACAUGUCACUUUAGUCUGUGUUCUCUGGCUCAUAUUGCAUUCUCCUUGUGUGCCUGUGUGUCUCUAUGUUUGGAGUGUCUCAUUUUUAAUGACACAUUCUUAUUAGAUUCAGAAAUGUUCUAACAAUCUCGUUCUAACUUGAUCAUUUCAGUGAUUCUAUUUCCAAAUAAAGUGACAUUUACAGAUACCCAGUGUUAGGACUUUAACACCUUCUAGGAAGACAACCCAUCAUACGUGGAAAGCAAAAGUCUUUCUUUUGUGGGAGGAAGGGAAAGGGACAACCUUGAGUGAGGAAAAUAUGUUCUAAGGCUGUAUUAGAGCCUCCUGUUCUAACAAAAGUGCAAUUAGAACUUCUAGCAUCUCUGGUGAGCAAAAAGCCGAGAGGAGGACUGGAUUUGCAAAAUGGUGAAUCAGCAAAUGCUUCUCCCAAGGCGCCUUGCCUAUAUUCCAGUUCUUAAUUGGUCACAAGGUAGCUAGUUGGCUGCCACAUCUAUGUGAACUGGGAAAAAGAAACCUUGCUCUAAGGUACUGCCUGAUUUCACUUAUGCUAUUGCUCUCUUGGAGAUAUUAGAAAUUCAAUUAUUAUUUUUUAAAAUAAAUAGCAACAAUUCCUACAUAAUCAGUUAUCAGUGGUAGAAUGCACACAUUAUAGUAACAGCAAUUAGGGGAACUCGGGAAAAUGCAAGAUCAUCCUUAAUGAUACCUGCACCCUUUAUCUGGCCCACCUUCAUUCAAAGUACAUAUUAAAACAUAUGUUAAAACACCAUAUAUUUGGAUUACUGAUAGGUUGUUUUAGGUGAGUCCAGGAAAGAAAAACACUUAAAGACGUAACUUCUACUCCAGCUUCUAUUUUUAAUUAAAAAAAAAAAACCUUUAAGACAGCAUAUGGUUUUUUUAUUAUUAUUUUAUUUAUAUGAGUACACUGUAGUUUUCUUCAGACAUGCCAGAAGAGGGCAUCAGGUUCUAUUACAGGUGUUUGUAAGCUACCAUGUGGUUGCUGGGAAUUGAACUCAAGAUCUUUGGAAGAGAAGUCAGUGCUCUGAACUGAUCACUGAGCAAUCUUUCCACCACACCCCCACCUUCUAUCUUAAUUCUAUCAAUAGGUUGCUCCUGUAUUAGUUACUCUUCUCAUUGAUAAGAUGAAAUACCUGACAGAAGUGACUUAAGGAAGGAAAGGCUCACUCAUGCUCAUGGCGUUAGGGGGCAGAUUCCAUCAUGUACCAUGGCAUAGAUGGCUUGGGAUUGGGAAAGUCUUAAUUCAAGAUGAUGGGAGAGUACAGUAAAACCAGUAAAAAAUUCUCCAGGUGGCCUCUGACCAGGAAACAAGUGUACAAACAAAAGCCAGGAUAGAUAUCACCUUCAAAGUCCCAUUCCUACUGAUAUAUUUCCGUGAGCCAGUUCCCCUUCUCAAGGGUUCCAAACCCUUCCCAUUUCUACAACUAGUGACCAAGUAUUCAAAACAAGACCGAUGGGAAGAAUUUACACUCAAACCAUAAUUUGGUAGUACAUACGUAGUUUCUCAUAAUGAAAACCCAAGAGUUUGAACUUCGUUAAACACUCAAAGCAACUUGUGUCUUAGAGUCACAUUAGGAAGAAAAGUUCUCUUUAGAUCUGGCUACAGGACAACCAAUGAUUGACAAGGCUUGAGCCAGGGUUCUGCUCCUGAUAGUAUUCACCAUGAAUCCCAUGGACUGGUGCCUCAGCUGUAGCUGGGAUUGGCACAUAAACUGAACCUACUAGGUGAGGUGGGGCUUUUUAAACGUGUUUUCAGGGGUUGACAAUUAAUUAAGGAAGUUCUCAAGUCUUCAACUAUUCUUACUGAGGCUUUAAGCAAUUCUGAAACACUGUUACUUAUGACUGAUAGCUGCCACGAAAGAUGCUAAUGUAGGAGAAAUCAAAGAUUCUUCACAUUUUUCUUAGAACAAGGAAAAAAGCUUAAUUGUAGUGUCCUAUGGCACGGAUCCUUGACCUGGUUCUCUCUCCAGCUGCAUGCUAUUGUGAACAUCAUUUCCCUCACUCUCAUCCCCAGUGUUCUCAGACAUUUAGUGGAGAUAAUAAUAGCUAAGCACUCUAUAUACAUUUAAUUACUUCAUGCUUAAAAUAGCCUUUUGAAACAUUACUAUUAUAUCCCUACAUAAAUGUAAGAUCAAGUCAUAGAGAAUUAGCUUGCCUAUAUACACAACACUAGUGAAUUUAGAUUUGAAGCAGCCAACCUCCUUCUAAUAUCUUUCCUUUCUACCACUCUCCUAUAGUGAUGACAUAAUAAUAAAAAUAAGUGUCACCAGGCACACUAGAGAUUACUUCAAAUAAGGCACAUAUGAACACUUAAAAACUACUUAAGAGAAGUUUGCCUGCACUACUUAUAAUCGUGGAGUAGAAUUUCAGCCAUUGUUGUAUAGGUGAAUAUUUGCAUUCUAUCUUGAGGUUUAUUUAGUAGCCUUAUCCCGAGAUUAUGGUCUAGAUUCCAUUGAGAUAUUGAUUUGAUGGAGAAAUGCACACAUAAGCCAUAGAACUUAAAUAUCAAGAUGAGCUAAUGUAUCACUGCAUAAUGCUUGCAAGAUAGGGCUAAUUCUGUAGAAUAACCAGUGAACAUUGACAAGAUUUUCUAGAUAAAACUCUCCCAUUCAGAUGAGCAUUAAAUGCCACUCUCUUUGGGGUAGACACCAUCUUCUACUUGCCUAGGCAGGGCUCUUUAAAUAAAAUACCCACCAGAAGAAUGCAGCAGUAAUUCCCAUCUGCCACUGUGUGUUAAUUAUUCUGUCUUGGGGAUCCCUGUGUAUAUGCCAUGCCUUUUUAGAAGCAAAGUCAGUCCCCCCCAAAAUGCAUCCAAUACUUUACAGAAUCCUACCCAGCCUUUGCUUGAGCCAUGCUACUUUCAAACCCAUUGUUGUUUGAUUCAUAUUUCAAUUGUCACAAUUGUGACAAAUGCAAGACAGAAUACCACAGAAUUUUCAGAGCACAUGCCAGCUGUCAGAUGCUGUGUCUUGUGAUUUCUCGGCAUUAUUCCCUUUUAUCCCCAUAUGAACACUGAGAUGGAGGUACUCUUGACCCCCACCCUGUCACCAAUUGGUUGGCUUUAGCUAUUUGUUGUAGGUUGUGGUUUUAGCAGUAUGCUUGAUUUCAUGUAUAGAUACAGAAGCUCAGAUGUAAGUACUACUCUAAGACCCCAUGAGUUGACACUGGCACCCUUGGUGCCACAGUUCGGAUAUUUUCUUGUAUAAUAAGUCCGCUGCUUGUUCAUUGAGCCACCCCAGGAUAUGCUCACGAGACUUGGGCCUCAUACAGCUCCAAAAACCCAUGGGUAGGUGGCAUAUGUAGUAGGAAAGAAGUCACACAAAUGGGCUGAUAUAGGGGACCAGAGACACAAACCCAGUGUCUCCUCCUCUUUAUCUCGGGUUUAGAUGCUGUCCUUUAGAUGCAAGGCUCCAGAAGUAGAAGGGGCAAUGAGCUAAGUAACAGCCUGAGAUUAUGCACACCUGUGUUCAUAUAUAUAUAAAUAUUCCACAUCAAACAGAAGUGCCCGCAGCACAGACAGUGAUGGUAGCUGGGCCUCUGUGUGUGGCUGAGAGGAAAGUUAUUUACAGCAAGGUCUGGCCUCUCGCCCCACCAUGUAAUUCCAGGCAAUUGCACUUCCAAAUAGAUCUUUUUGGAGAAAAUCAACAGUGGCUUUGCUUUCAAUCUACUGGAAAAUGAAGUCCUGUGAAUGUGUUAUGUAAGUCCACAGGUCCACAGCAGGUGGAGUGAGGAGCUCAAACCAGCAGCUCUGCAGAGAGAUGGGAGGCUCUGAUUCCCAGAUUCCUUCUAUCUUUUCUGGCCUGCCGGGCCCUAUGCAUGCCUAUGCAUUUUCACAAUGACUGACCCUGGGGCCCCAAGGCAGAAGCAAGGUAUGAGACAGGGCAACUGAGACUAUCACUGGGGCUCUAAAGAAGAAAAGGGAGUUAAAGAAUGAUAAAGGCCCUGCUGUGGCAUUUAUUUACAAGACAAACACAAUGUCUGCUUUUUGACUCAUCCACCAUGCAACUUACUCCAAUUUAGCAGCACCAAGUAGCACACAUAUGACACAUCCACUCUGGUACCUGGACUGUCACGCUUGCUUUCUUUCUUUUUCAAUAAUAAAGUCUCACUGAGUUUCUAAGACUACAGAAACAGAGAAAUAAAAGCAGACUGUCCACAACUCCAUUAUCUAAACAGUCAUUGUUAGCAUGCUGAUGAGUUUUUUUUUUCCUCAGCCUUUGUUUUUAAUCUAUUUUUAACUUUGGAAAGAUAAUUUCCUGAUGAGUUCUACACAUUUUUCCUCUGGGUCAGAAUCAGUGGAGACCAAGUCAUACUCAGGGGUCUGAGAGGUUGGAUGCCAGCCAGGUGGGCUGCCUAGACAGCCAAUGACUGCUUAGAUUACAGAAAGGUGAUGAAAGGAACACAAUGCUGAGAACCAGGGUUCAGUCUUUAUAUUGAGCAGUAUCCAUAAUCAUUAAUAUAAGACAUCAAGUGAGUUACAUCCGUUUUGGGGAUUAUUUGCACCAUCCACAGUAGAUACAGAGAGUAAAGCAUAUGCCUUUAUAUGGAUAUGGAGGCACUCGUGUACUUCUUAUAUUAUUGAGAAAUUCAUUCUCCUGUAAUGGAGUUGUGUUUUCAGAAGGACAAUAGGGAUAUUGAUAACUAUCUUCUAAAAUUAUCAUAGUAACUUUUAGGGUCACAUUGAAUGGGGUAUGUAAGAAGAGGAAUGGGUGGGAGACAAGAUAAUUAACACUGGGAAUGUUUGAAAAGCCAAAUGAAAACAUAAUACCUUAUAAGCUUUAUGUAUAUAUAUGUAUAUAUAUAUAUAUAGUUUGUAUAAAAGAAUGUAAUUGAUAUUGCCAUAUGUAGGCAAUAAUGAUCCUCCCAGAAGCUAUGGGAUAUUAAAAAGACUGCACCUCAAGUUGUUCAUCAGGUAUGUCCCAGACAACCCUAAAACAACACAGGCUAUUGUCAAAGCUCUUGGUUGUUCACCAGAACUUGACGGUAAGAUCCUCUUGCAGAAGAUACCACAUGCUUUCUCCAUAGCACAUAGAGAAAUAAAGUUGGAAGUGACCAGGAAGUUUUCUCCCUGCUACACAGAUUCUAUGGUAUCAAAAAAUGCUAAGCACACUGCUUGGGGUUGGGGUUGGGGGUGGGGGGAGGGAAAAUCAUCAACAGACUUAUCCAGCUGCAAACCCAUAAACUACAAUAAUGACCAACAUGGUAAAAUAUGGGUGGGAAAGUAGCACAAAUGUUAUGGGGGACAUCAUCCACAUCCUGACUGAAGAGUCCUACUCCACGGGAAGCAACACAUGCCUGGCACCUUGAAUCUGGACAAGAACCCAAGGUUGGAAAGCUCACAGGCUUGGGGGUGAAGCUAAUACUACUAUUUUGCUAAAUGCAAAUAGAGUCAGAAUACUCUCUAAAUUCUUACCUCUCUACCCAUAGGUUAGUGUGCACUUAGAACUCAUCAGUUUUAAGGUUUUCUUGCAGAGUAAACAGCAGUCCGUGCAGAAACUUACAACUGGUCAAAUAAGAGUCUGUAGAGUGCUCAACUAUAAAUGGGACAUUAACAUCACCCUGUGCCUUCCAAGGCUCAUAGAUGGUCUUAAAAUGGGGGUGGGGUGAUACAAGGGUUGUAAGAUCCACAUGUCAGAGGCCUGGAGUCAAAGAGUAACAAGACAGCUGCACCCAUGAACUCCCAACAAUGACUGCUGCCUGCACAAGAUCAAGCUAAUCAAUAUUUCAAUAACAAGAAGUGAGGGGCUCAUGAGCUCCCUCCUACCCAAGCUGAGAAGGUAUCAACAAUCAAUGGCUUCUGGGAGAUAGGAAGUCAUUUUCUUUAAAGGUGUGGUCCCUAGAAGGCUGGCCAUGAUUCGGUGGAUGGUCCCCUCUGGUAAGUAUAUGGAUAGCACAAACUGGACUAGGUGGGUUACAAAAAAUUUCAAAAGAUAAUAGGAAGUUAGGAUAAAUGAAGGUGGGUGUGAGAGAAGUUAGAGAAAAGAGUGAACAUGAAUAUUAUCAAAAUACCUUGCAUAUGUGUAUAACAUUCUUAAAGGAGCACUAGCAUAUGUUAUAUUUAAAAAGCAAACAGCUGGAGAGAUGACUCAGAAACUAAGAGUGCAUUCAGCUCUUGCGGAGUACUGGAUGGAGCUCAGCUCCCAGCAUAAACCUGGGGUGCCUCGCUGCUUUUAAGGAUGCCUCCGGCCUCCGUGGGUACCUGUGCUAACAUGCACAUACCCACAUGUGCACACAUAAAUUAAAAAUAAUAAUUAAAUCUUGGCUGGGGAGAUGGCACAUCACUGAACAACAUUUGUCUGCUUUUCCAGAAUACUUAGGUUUCAAUCCCAGCUCCCAUAUGGCACCUCAUGUCUGUCUGUAACUAGUUUUAGAGACUCCAGUAUGGCCUCUUCUGCUCUCUACAGGUGCCAAUCACACAAGCAGUGAAUGAACAUAUAUGCAGGCAAACUAUGCAUUUACAUAAAAAACCAAUAGAUAUUCAAAAAUUAAAUGAUGCAUGUAAACCAACUCUUUGUUGCAUUUAUGUGUGUAGCUGUAUGUGUUCCUGUAAGACUCACAUGUAUGUUUGUUGUCCAUGUGCAAGUGGAGACAGGGGUCAACCUUGGAUGUCACUCCUUAGAGCAGUAGUCUACCUUACCCUUUGAGGCAAAGUUUUUCAAAGUCAUCCGGACUUUAUUAAUUUGACUAGAUUGACUAGCCAGUAAGUUCUAGGGGUCUUCUUGUCUCCAUUUCCUCAAUAAUGAAAUUAUAUGCACAUAUCACCAUACCAGGCUUUCUUACGAGGCUUUCUUACGUGGGUCCUAGUAAUGUGACUCAGGACCCCACAUUUGCAUGGCAAGCACUUUAGCGAUUAAGUCAUGUCCCCAGCCCUGUGGGAAGACAGGAUUGAUGAUUGCAGAGAAUUGUAGGAGGUUUUAUCACUUGGGUUUUAAGAAAUGAGAUGAUUACUUGCACUAUACACCAUAGAAAUAUUUUGUGAAAGUCCAAGAAGAUGAUAAAGAGCAAUAUAAAUAAAAUUAAGCACACAUAGGAGAUCAGGGAGAGGCACAAAGUGAAGUGUUUCCCCAUAAUUCACACAAGGAAUCAGAAAUAAUAAGAGAGUUCAGAGGCAUCAAGGAAAAGAAAGAAAGAAAGAAAGAAAGAAAGAAAGAAAGAAAGAAAGAAAGAAAGAGAGAGAGAGAGAGAGAGAAAGAGAGGGAGGGAGGGAGAGAGGGAGGGAGGGAGGGAAAGAAAGAAAGAAAGAAAGAAAGAAAGAAAGAAAGAAAGAAAGAAAGAGAGAGAGAGAGAGAGAGAGAGAGAGGGAGGGAGGGAGGGAGGGAGGGAGGAAGGAAGGAAGGAAGGAAGGAAGGAAGAAAGGAAGGAAGGAAGAGAGUGAUCGUUUCUCCUUCUUCCCAUGCCUUGAUUGAAAAAGGGGCAAUGACCAAUAACUCCCUACUAAUACAAUGGGAAUUAAAAGGUUUUAUGCUUUGAGUUGGAUAUGUAGCUACGCAGAAACUGAGAAGUAGCCUCAACCCCUUCAUCUUACCUCAGCAGAAAUCUUCCAAGAGGUGAAAAUCCAUUGGCUGUUUUCACCAUGGACUAGAAUCACUUUCAUCUUUAUACCUCAUGGGGAAGCAGAGUGCCAUAGGGAUGGAGACAGAAUAAGGAGGCAGUGGCUUUAGAAUAGGCAAGACACCACGGAAUGCUACCUGUCAAAAUACCCACAUUUAUUUGGGGAAUCCCCAGGAGCAAAGCCAACAGACCGUGGAACUAGUGUAGUGUGCCACCUUCUGGUAGGAUUACAUAUUACACAAUUUCUUGAUUCAUGACUGCUCACUAGCUCUGGGCUUGGAAAUAAAAAGAAACCUUUCAAAGCCAAUGUUGUGUUUUCAUAACAUCUCCAAGACCAAGGCUAGACCAAGAAUGACCAUGAUGAAAUGUGUCUUUAACAGUUCCCAUGUCCUUAUUCCAAAUUGGAACCCUCAUUCAAGCUCCCAUUUGACUAUACAAGCCCAAUGUUCUCAGUCAAUAUAUCAAUAGCCAUGGGUAGCUGCUCACCUCCUCUAGCCAUACUCUACUGCCAAAGGUUAAGAGGACAGGUAAUGCAUACAUUGCCCUUACAUGUGCAUUUAAGUAGGUUCUGGACAAUUACUGCAAUCCAGGCACUAUGCUAGAUCUGAUCUCAUCUUCCAGGAUCUUAUCAUCCAUUGAGGAAAGCAGUGAUGUACUUAGGUAAUCACAAGUCCCUUCUUGGGGUAAAAUGUUCAUAGUAAAGGAAGUCUAGGUAGGAAAAACUACCACUUAUGGUUAAAUUAGUCAGAAAUGGCAGUGUUUGAUCUCUGAGUUGAAAGAUAAAAUUUUAACAAAAAGAAUCAGAGAAAAAUACAUCUGGAAAAGUUAAAACAAUGCACAAAAGGCAAAAAAAAAAGUAGACAAUUAAAGACCUUUUAAUAGAAUACCUGUACCAAAGCAUACCAGGGGAGAAUCGUGACAGCUACCACCUACCCAAACUCCUUUUAAAAUGUGAUCUUCAUCACCUUCAGUUAUUGCUGCUAUGAAGCCCAUUUUCUUGAUGGAGAAAGUGAGUCUUUCAGAGGUAAGGAUUUAGUUUAUUGUGAUUCCAUGUUUUGUAAGGAGAAUACACAACCUAGGGAUUCUAUCCCCUAUAGCCUGGAUGGUAGCAAGUACAAUAAACAAAAGAAAAUGGUUGCAGCCAUUUCAUGGAGGGCAAAGAAUCCUUUCAAAAGCAGAGCAGGAAUGAGUUUUCAAGGUGGUCUUCUUCACUGUCUAUCCAUCCAGACAUGGUGACUCUUCGCUGGUUAUUAUCUUUCUUCUUAGAGACAUACUCUAAGCUAUCCAGCCAUAUAUUCACAAGCUUGAAAUCCAUAGUAAAGUUAUCUCUUCUUUCCCCCAGUGCAUUUAUCUGUUUGUUUGAUUUUUCUGCUCACUGCAUUAUAUGUUAUUAGGCCUUAGGGUGCCUCCGUGAAUUAAAGCGAUACAGUCAAAAUGUAUGAUUAAAAGGCUGAGAGGCAAUAAUAGCAACAUAAUCAUACAGAGCAUUCAUAUCCCACUUUAACAUCUGUUGUCUCACUUACUCACAGAAAAAUCAGCAGCACUCCGAGCCGGGAAUGACAGAAUGUUAGCAACUCAAUUUUACCAGUGGGAACAUUGAAACAGAGAGGUUGGCUAGUUUGCCUGGGGCCACAGAGCAAGUGAUUGGAACUGUCACUAAAUCUCCUAGCUUCCAGCCCAGACUUGUUUCCACAGAACUGUGGUCUCUCUACUCAGGAAAGAUAGGUUUAGGAGAUGAGAGGGCCCAGGUUUCUUACCUCAGGGAGUUUUGGGUACGGCACCAUGGACAGAGAACUCAAGGCUUUUUGAGGGGGAAGCGGUUUGGUUUAGGUGAGUAUGUUUGGACAUGCACCACUAUAUCCAACUCAGCAUCAUCCUUCCAUGACACACAAUGCUACUCUCCAAUUUAAAGCUCUCAAGCUAAAUUCUCUGAUGCUGACUAAAGGGUAUGCUCAGAAAACUGUAUACAGGCCAUGACAUAAAAAUCACCUCGAAAUAAGGCCAAGACUAGAAGAGGAAAGCCGCAUUUAGGUCGAAGCAAACACAAACACUAAUGGAAGCAGCUGCUACGUCUUCACCAGGUAGUCUGGGGCAAGUUAGCCAUAGUGACAUUUACCCUGCACUACCCCUAAUAAGCCAGCUACAGUUAGCCAAGAUUCUCUCUUUUCACAUUCCAACAUAUUAUAAGGACCACCUCCCUUAUAAGCUAUUAAAUCUAAAAAUAAUGCUAUUUGUCUGUGGAGCUGUGGCUUUGUGUCAGGUCCUGGGCUUGUUCUCCAAGUGUUAUGUCAAUUAUUUCAUCCUUUUGGUGACUAGUACAAGAUCUAUCUAACAUGUGCAGGCUAUGUGAAAGACAAUUUGGAGAAAUAACCGUGUGCUAUUUCAAAAAAAAAAAAAAAAAAAAAAGACAGUGAGUCUGGAGUCUCCCAGCUAUGUGAUCUUGAUUCUUAGUUAACCCCUAAGGGUUUAACAGUCUCUGCACCAGUAAAACUGGGGAGCUAUGCUUUUUUGUGACAUUGUCAAGAAGACUACAGAAAAAGCAGCCAAUACCCAGAGAACAAUGUGAGCACCUAGUGGGUGCUCAAAUGAACACUAUUUUCCAAUCCUCUCUUAACAUUCACAUGUGACUUUGACCUUACUUAAGCCUAUUUCCCCAGGCCCCACACCCCAACUCAUUAACCCGAUAUGAAGAUAAAAGUAAAGUUCCAUAGAAGAAGGAAUAGGUCAAGUGAGAAUUUAUUUAUAAAUCUGGAGAGAGCAGAAUUCAUAGUGAGGUUUUGUUUGUUUCCGUGAUAGUGCAUCUCAUAAUGACUGUAUCAGAAAGUGUAGGAGGAAGAGGUUGACAAGAGUGACUAGUAAAUGUACAUAGAGAUGCUCAGCUCCAUACACUGUCAAGCCUCCUGUGGUGGUCACUAGCCACCAAUGAGUAAGGAGAACUAAAAUGAGGUUAUGAGCCAACAAGUAUCGUGUAUCCCUGUCUCCCAUUCACACCAUUUGCAAAGCAGCUCCACACAUAUGAUCCUGCACCAAUCGGCAAGGGCCUAAGCAUAAGCAGCAGGCUUUGGGACCAGAACCACAGACACAGUGUGAUGGCUAUCCUUCACGAUCAACUGGAUUAGAAGCACCGUCCUCUGAGUAUGUCUUCUGGGGUGUUUCCAUAAAAGUUUAAUGGAGGAGAGAAGAGCCACCCUGUGUGAGGGUGCCACCAGACCAUAGGCUUCAGUCACAGAUUCAACAAAGUGACAAGGUAAGAUGAGCACUAGUGUUCAUUUCUCUCUGCUUCUUCUGGAGAUGUGAUGUGACCACCUGUGUCAUGUUCCUGCUCUAAUGCCUCCCCCUAUCGCCAUCCUUGUGAGAUCUUCAAACUGUGAGCCAAAAUAAAAUUUCCUUUCCUUGCUUGUUUUUUGCCAGAGCCACAAGAGAAAUAACUAGGUAUCUUGAUCUGUCCACCUGUCUCAAAAAACGCAACUUUCACCCACUUUGAUAUUAUGACUUCAGAAUCAGGAGUAGCUGUUCUUCCUCAUCCCGGAGCUCACAUCAAGUGGGAUUCAAUGUCAUUAAAAACAGGAAAGACUCUUAAUAAAUAUAUGUCUGCUGUUGGACAGAGGGCAUGAGGGCAGACCUCCUGCCAACCACACUGCCCAUGGCCACACAGACAAGCUUUGGUAUCCUGAAGACACAGAUGCAAGCACCAAAGCACCUUCUCCACUUUGCUAAGCCCUCCCUGUCUUGAUUCAUGAGGCUCAUUUCUUCCAUUCUCUGGCUCAGUAAGAAGCAAAAAGCAGCCUGUGUUUAUACCUGACACUAAGCCUUGAUGUCAUUUGUGUGACUUUUAGAUUUUACGGCAUGCAUUACAUGGAGAUAAUGACUUCUCCGGGGUUGCAAAGCUGGAGAGUCAAGGACCUGAAUACCGAUCUUCCCUAACAAGGCAGGAAGGCACGGCAUCCUUCAAGCAUUUUCCUCUCUUGUGUUUCCCAUCCUCCUUCAUGAUGUUUUGUUUCUCUUAUCUAACACUAUUUCCCCCUGCUCUAAAAAGCCUGAGAAGAUGGGUAAAAACUUUUGUGUGUUUAUUAGCCAACCAUAGACAGCUCUACAGUUUAAUUCAAAGACAGCUAUAACUCACUUAAACUAACCUACACUGAAUUGUGUCUUGGGUAGCCCUCCUCAAACACUCCUCAAAAUGAUAAUGAACAUCAGGCUCACCAGCAGGAGGACCAGUGGCAAAGCCUGAGGACUGGCUUUAUAUUACUGGGCAGGUACUAUUUAAACCCUUCCGUCUCUUACACAGGGAUGACUGGGAGGACAGCAGAAGCUUGGCCCUCUAAACCAUGUGGGUUUUUAUCAACUGGUGGGAGCACUGGGGCUCCUCCUGAUUAAUUCUUACCCAUGGGCUCUCCAUGAAGACUUCCAGGAAAGCAAAACAAUGGGACAGAAAAAGCCAGGAGCCAGCUGGCCUAGACAUGAAACCUACAGCAACUUCAAUUCUCUAGAUCUGUCUUAUCAUCUAUAAAGCAAAUAUAAAAUUGUUGCCAAUCUCACUGUGGUUUUGUGAAAUUCAAUAAAUAAAAUACUUGAGCUGAGGGUCUAGUUGCAUUAGAAGACCCACUAGAUACUAGCGUAUAUCCUUUCCUUCAAUUCGAGGAAGAUGUGCACCCAUUAGGAAGCCCUAAUGCUGAUCUGAUAAGGAAUCUAGAAAUCUUAUUUCCUCCCUUCAAUUUCUUAGCUUCCUUCUUGCAACAACAACAACAAAUGUCAUCCUUAUUAGAGAACAACAUGACAAAAUUGUUAUCUGGUUAAAAGUGUGCUAUACAAUCAAAGCCUAAUCUCAACAUUAGAGCAAACCAUGUAUGGAUGAGAGACAGAAACUAAAUAGUGACUAAGCACCUACUAUGCCUCAAAGACUUUAUAUACAUUAUUUUUAUAAUCUAUACUCUACUCCUGGAAUAGGGUUGCUUGUCAGUACCCUGUUUUAUACACAAAGAUUCCUAAAGGAUAUCAAGAUUAAGUAGCAGAGCUGAAUGCAAUCGUUCACCACCAAAGCCCACUGUCUUUCCAUUAAUUCAGGAGCUUUGCUCUCCUGGGGUGAGGUGAGCCAUGGGAGGGGACAAGUCAUCCAAUGACACGCCUAGAAGAUGUGCAAAGAGAAACCAUGCUUAAGUGUAUGAUGGUUCACUCUUGCUUUCCCAGAAUUGACUUUUUUCUUGGGAUUUUAAAUCAUCGGGUGAUGGAUUUAUGCCAAUGACCACCAGAGGGGGAUAACAGCUGAGAGAGGACAGACAGUAUGCAUACACAAGCACCAGCGUGUGCAUACACACACACACACACACACACACACACACACAUACACACACACAGACAUACACACAAGAGUUCCCAGUAGCUUCCCCAAACAAUAACAAAGGAUUAACACACUGAAAUGCCAUUUAAAUAAAGACCCUUGAACAAACAGGAUUUUCUCAUAGCUUUUCUGCUACUGUAAACCAUGCCGAGUCUGAGCUCACCUCGGGGGAAACAAAGGGUAUCAUGAAUCCCUUGUCUAGGCAAAGGAUAUUCCUGUUUGAAAAUAAAAAAUGUAGAGCCAGAUUUGAUCCACUGGUUCUCAUAGUUAAGUUAUAUUAAUUAUAUAUUUUCAAAGAAAUUGAUUUAGAGGGCUAGAAAGUUGACCCAGCAGUUAAGAGCACUUACUAAUCUUGCAGAGGACCUGGGGUAGGUCCCCAGCAUUCAUAACAACCAAUAACUGUAGUCCCAGAGGAUCUGACACCCUCUUCUGACCUUGGUGGAAAACAGGUAUGCACUUAGUACACACAUAUGUGUAGACAAAAACAAAAACAAAAAACAAAAAACCUCACACACACUCACACAUAAUUUUUUUUUAAUAUCUAAAAAUAAAAGAAAGACCUGGAUUUGGAGCCUGAAGUCAGGAUUGUUUUGCAUAGUGGGGUCAAGGAUCAAGCUUAGGGUCCUAUGCUUACUAGACAAGGGCCAAACCAUGGAACUACAUCCUCAGCUAAAGGGUUUUUGAAGCUGUAAAUCAAACUACACCGUGUAUGUUUCACACAGGCCCAACAAGACCCCUGACUGCCCAUCCUCUCAAAUACAAGCCUCCCAAUAUCCACCCCCCCACAUGGUUAUUGUAAAGACAAAAACUGUAAUGCAAAAUGGCAAACAGCUCUGUAAAUUGCAAAGGCCAAGCAAAUGUCAAUUGCUCUUCUUGCUAUGGUAGUUAUUUAUUUAGUGUCGACGCUCCUAUCACAGGGCCUGUCUGUGGCAGUGCACGGUCGGUUGCAGGAGGAACAGGCCUGAGCAUUAUAUGAGAGGGCAGGGAAGCAGAAGGAGCAAGUGUGCUGGCAGCAUUUGGGGUUGAGCCAGAAGCAGAAGGAACAAGGAUACUGGCAAUCCUUGGGGUUUUGAGGGAAGAACUUGCUCUCUUCAUGCUGAUGUCUCUGGGCUUUUCCUGAUAGUCCUACUUAUUUUAUAUAUAUUUUAUUUUCAGUGUAGAACCACCAGCUCCUCAUUAGUUUUCUAGGACUUGUCAGACAAGUUAUGGAAAACAGGGUGGUUUAUAGUGACAAAUGUGCUCCGUUUCAGGUCACUAUGCAAAGUGUGUGACUGUUCACCCCACACAGUAUGAUGCCAUCCUAACCUGAAGAAUAGAGAGGUGCAGCAUCCAGGAAACCAGCCGCAGUGUGGGCAAUAGACUCAGCCUAAGGAGGACAAAUUGAAGGCAUGAAGGUCAGUGUUCACUGUCAACUUGAUUAGUUUAGAAUCACCAUGUAAAGAGGGUAGUCCCUGAAAGGUUUUACUAUAGAGGAAUAACCUACCCUAAAUAUGUGUAGACAGUCCCACUAGCUGGAACAUGGAUUAAAUAAAAUGAGAAACAAUAUCCCCGCUACACACACACACACACACACACACACACACACACACACACAUACACACACACACACAGGCAACCACAUUCACCUCUCCCUGCUUCCUGACUGUGGGUACAAUGUAACCAGCUACCUUAUUCUCUAGAUGCUAUGUCCCUCCACCAUGAUGAACUGUAAGUUCCAACUGUGAGUCAAACUGUUGCUUUUGUUGGGCAGUUUGUCACAUUAACAAGAAACUUAGCUAGAGCAGAGGGCUUUCUGGGGAAGUUUGUGCUGAACCUUGAGUGAUACAUAUUGAUAAUAGGAAGAUAAGACCAGAUAGAAAUGCUCGUGGAGCAAAGAAGGAGAGCAGAGAUACAGAUGUUUAAAGGGAGAGAUUUAAGAGAAAAAAGCAGGCAGGAGGAAGGAGAAGCUGAAGGAAUGUUUCUGAUUGAAUGGCUAAGAUAGAAGCAACAGGCUGAGGCUGAAAGGAAGCUAGACAGGAACUAGGGAAAUUCCCACAUUCCGAGACACCAUGCCUCUCUCUGACUUUCCUCCUAUUUCCACCCAGGGCUUUCCCAUACUUCCUCCCUGCUCCAGCAGCUUAGACUUCUAAAAUCAGAGGCCCUGCCUUAGGUAAUCCUGUGUGUGCCUGGCACACAAACAGCUCUACAGAUAAGAACAGCUUCAAAGAUGGAGCUGGCAGACUCAAGAUGGACAGACAGACAGACAGAAGGCUGCCAACAGUGCAGCCGCCACAGCAGAAAGCACCACUUCCGGCUGCUCCCUGUGCCUUGAGACAAAGACAGUUGGACCCAGUUAAUUGAAAUAUAAGCUUUAGGCAUUAGGAUUUAUCCAAACGCCAAGAAAAUAACUCGAGGACGCUAACAGCAUGCAAAUGGAUGCACCCGGGGUCCUUUAACAUAAUUCAUUCAGCACAGGCAGCCCAGGUACGACUGGCAGUUUCUCUGGCACCCCCAAACCAGUCCUUUCUUUCAUGCCUCUGGGCUUUCUCCUCCCCCACCCUACUGCUCCUGGACAGGCCUGAUUUGUGCUAAUAAAAGCAGCCACGGCCCCAGGGACCCAGCAGGAGGAACAUAGCUGAUUUCACCUCUUUAACCCCGGAUCUAGGAAAACAGCCGAACGCUGACUCUGGCCUUCCCCCAGGAGGAUCCCAGAGUUUUAUCUUGUGAGCUGCACGACCUCUAGGAACCUCUGCACAAGUGAGAUAAGCCCCUGUCCCCAAGAGGAAGCAUACUUAUCUCCCAACAAAGCGUCUGCAAAUUACUUUUUUUUCCUUCUCAGGGAAUGGAGUAUUUAAAUAAUAAUAAUAAUAAUAAUAAUAAUAAUAAUAACUGCAAUAGCAGUAAUAGUAAUCACCACCAGCUGAUGUCUGCAUCAUGGUCAGUUCUUCAGGGAAAGAGGUGGCUGGGCCUGCAGAAACGGAUUGUGUUAAGGAACAUGGGUGACUCAUGCGCCAGGGGCGGGCACCUUCCCAAGGGUCCUGGAGCCCAGUGUCUGGUUUGAGAGAUAUGCACACCACCUCUCUUCGCACAGAAUAAACAAAUGAUUAACUGUCUCAUUAGUGACUGUGCGGGAAGACACACAACUCAUGUCCCGGCGGGUGGCGCAGCCAAGAGAUUUAUAUUAUUUAACAAUAAAAGCAAAACAAAUGUGGCCUUCCACCCCGCUGCCUGCCUGCAUGAGGCCCCUUUUACCAAAGCAGGGCAGCUAGCCAGAAAGGACGGGAGGCUCUCUUACCUGACAGAACAUAGACUGCAGCCUAUGGAGGGAGAAGACCACCUCCUUUGAAUUUCAGGGCUGGGUUCAGGACAGGGUAGGGGGUGGGGGCAGAAUGGAAGGAAGAGUGUUCACAAGGGAGCACAACUGAUUUCACUGGAAGGAGCUAUUUGCUGUGAAUACCUGCUAAGAAAGAGAAAAUCAGUUUCCUUCAGUGGAAUGUCACUGGGUAUAUAUAUCAACUACACUCCAGGGUCAGCCCCAUGAACCAUUCUAGAGGCAAACUGCCGGAAUCGCACCCUGAAGCUAAGAGUUGAAGUCCUUUGACAUGGUUUAAGUUCCCUCCCUGUGCCUCAGUUUCUGAUGUAUAAAACAAAGAUAAUAAUAAUUAUAUUGAAAAAUGUAGUUGCUUUGGGAAAUAUGGGAGUUAAUAUAUUUAAUGUCCUUAGAAGGUAAUUAAUGUGUCCUGGAAUACAGUAGAUAACACGGAAGAACAUAAUUAUUAUUAGGAAGUUCAUGGCGUCGUUAUGAAUUGCAUCCUUUACGUUUUAGUCAUUUACUGUCAUGAGCAUUCACGCUGAAAUGCAGAGCAACUUAAAAGGCUCUUCUCUCUAGGUUUCUACCCACUACCUACCUACAUCACAAACUCCUACACUGCCUCCAAAACCCAAGCAACUUGUCAUUAUUUUUCUCUCUAUAUAGUUUCCUCUUAAGCUUUCUCACCUCUGACAGAACCCAUCUCUUCUCACAGCUGUGAGGUAUAUUCCUGAUUCGAUAAUCAAGGCCCCUGAUUAACCUGGAUGUCUACCCUUCCCACGUACCUCCCUAAAUCCCUUCUGAGAUCUACCUUGGAGGAAGAGCGCCUAGAGUCUGUACAAUAGAACCCUGCAUGUCAGUACGUGGAGCCCUGCAAAGCCCUUUGUGUGAAAGGCAUCCAGAAAGAGAAGCAAAUGUAAUGUUUUGCCCUAGGCACUGUGUUCGUCACAAAUCCCCAAGCCUCGGAGCGUGACCUUUGCAAAAAGUCACACUGGCUAAAAUGUCUCUGUAUUGUUCUUUGACUGGCAAUGAAUUAUCUGGGGUUAGAGGAACAUUUUUUUUUUUCACGGCUCAAAAAGCUGAGCUUCUGAAAUCUAGGGGUUUGGGGAUCCAAGGGGAAGGCUAACCAUGCUUGUGUUUUCAUAGACCCCGUACUGCCUGAAGCGCAGUCCAGGGAAGCAGCAGCUUCAGCAGGAAGCACCUUCCCACCCCUCAGAAAGGAACAGACUUGUGAGGCUGAGCCAGGAUGGAGCAGGACCCCUACCCUUCACAGCAGGAAAGCCUUCAGUGACUCAGUUUUGCCUUCUGUGAGGUGGAAGAAACACUUGACCUUGUAGAAAAGGGAUGAAGAAUAAUAUGGAAGCUAUUCACGGGGCAUGUCAUGUAGCUCCCCGAUCCUUAAAUGGUGGGUCAGGGCCCCAUAGUAGGUUGUGUAACUGGAUGUUGAGGUUGUGAAAAUGUUGAAAACUGUAAAACGUUUCUAAUUAAAAAUCAAGGGUUUGAUGGAUCUUAAGUGUUUCUGGAAGGACCUGCCCAUGCUCCGUGGAACUUCACGGCAGCCCUGGUUCUGAACAUGGAUGUACAUUUUACAUUGAACCCAGCAUCCCUCCAUGCAGUGCCAAGGAACACUGUUGGAAAUACCUCACCUCAGAUUUGAGACCAUUCCAUGCAACCAACCACAGUCAUUUCACUUAACAUAAACAGUUUUCAACUCCUAUAGGAAUAUAAUGGUUCAAUUAUAGUUUUUUUUUAAAGCCACUUUUGAUGUUUUCCUCUCAUUUCUCAGCAUGUAAGUAUCAAAUUAGUAUAACUUUGGACUACAUUACUAGAAUGUCUCAUAUCUUUAAAUUUGUUUGAGUUGCUGGCUUGAAUUAAACAACGACAAAAACUAAAACAAUUGAUUGAAAUUUGGGUUGGAAUUAGGAUAUUAUUCCCAACAAUUUCUGAACUGGCUAUAAACAUACUUCUGUUUGUACUACAUAUCUAUGCGAAGCAGCUAUUGUAGAAAUCAAAAUAUCAGUCAAAGGUUGAAAAUGCCGUGUUUCCUCAGCAUCAAGGACUCAGCUAAGAUCGAAUUCUUUAUGGAAUAAACAACCACAUCUGGCUCACCAUUAUUCAUAUUUGCUUCCUUCUUAAACAUAUGGGGAAAAGGUUGGUCUACCAAAGAAUUACUUUAAAAUAACUUUCUUUAUGAUUUAAGUAACAGGAAGUGUUUGAUUUGUAUAUCUAUCUUAUAUAGCUUUAUACCCAAAAUAGAAAAAAAAAAUCUUAGGAAGAAAGAAAUUGUGAAUGGGAAAAGUUCAAAAGUCCAGAUUAGCUGGUACUGUGGUUAGUACCAGCACUGAGUCCUAACAACCACCUUUCCUUCAUUGAGCAACCUAAGAAAUGUUAAAGGACUCAGGAAAGUGGAGAUCAAAUAGAAAUACAUUCCUGUGAUAUUAAGACUGAGAGUUAGAGAGCCACAAGUAAACAAAUGUGGGUCUCCAAAGUAACUGUAACUCAACCAAUGAGCACAUAUAUCUGUUUGCAAAGGCCAUUUAAUAAUGUGUGAAACUCGGGCAAAUCCCCUGCAUAGGACUAAGUCAUUCCCUACAAGGAACAACCAAGAGGAGCCUCCAGCACCCUGCAGGCUGCAAGCCCCUGCCCAGUCACUGCCCCUUCGUUGCAGGGACACAAGCUCAACCAUUGCCUUUACUUGCCCCCGUACCUGUUGGUCAUAGCUGCUUCUUGGGUGCAGGAAUCUGUUUUCACAUCACUUUCUGAUCACCCACAUCACAGUCUUCACUUCCUCCUCUAUACUGUAGUUGCUCUCACAGUCUCCUUUUCCUUCAUCAUGGAGGACAGUACAUCCCAACUCCUGAGGAGUUGUUCAGACUUAGUGAUUCUGAGACAGAUGUAUUCUAGAAUAGUUUCAAUGGCUCUCUUCUUUAUCAAAGCGCCCUGCUCAUUUGUCUUUGCCUACUUUUCCCAAACAUGAGUGUUCAUGCACUUUUUCUUUUGUGGUUUUGGCCUUCAUUUUUCUUAAUUGGUUUCUUGUUUGGUUGGUUGUUGUGAGUUUAUUUUUAAAGAGAACAUAAAGUUGGGUUAGGUAGGGAGGUUGGAAGGAUCUGGGAAGAGUUGUGGGAGAAAAAAGUCAUUAAAAUACAGUGUAUGAAAAAUGUAAUUUAAUAAGGAGGGGAAAAGCCACUGCCCUUUGAGUAUUGGUAAAUAAGAAGUCUCUGUUAUGGUUGUCGUGUGUCAUAGGAUGUGAUAGUGUGAAUUGUGAUCACCUGAAAUCGUAUGUGGACUUCUUAACACCAAGUAUUUCAGAUGUAACUCAAAUUAGACACAAGUUUGUUUCAGAUAUAAUUAAUUACGAUGCAGUCAUUAGGCCCAGAGCCAGUAAUAAUGCUAUGCUUGAAAAUGUGGUAUGAACAUGAGGACAGUCAUCUGAGAACCAGAAUAGACUGUCACUCACAGUUCUCUGAAGAAACUAGCCAUCUUAGUGUAGACUCACAGUGCCCAGACCUGUGAGGCAAUACAACACACUGUUAAAGGCACCCAGUUUGUCAUGGCAGUGGACAUGGGAAGCACACACACACACAAAAAAGACCAUGCAAGUGGGUCUCAUAUAACCCCAAGAACCUUUUAAGAGAAGAACAUGUUCUCCAGCUAAUAGCAACACUAGGACAUUUCAAACAAGGUAGUAGCCUUGUAAGAGCCUACGCCACUGUCUUGGUUGCCUUUUUACUGUUCUCACAAAGCACCCUGAUGAAGGCAAUACAAUUCCAGAAGGUAAUCCCACAGAACAGAGGGGAAGGAAGCUAACUGGGAAUGGCCCGAGUCUUUUAAAUCUCAGUGCCUUCCUGAAGUGACACACCCCUAACUAUUCCCAAAGAGUUCCACCAACAUAGGGAUGAAGUAUUCAAACAUAUGAGCUUAUAGGAGCCAUUCCCAUUUAAACAGGCACAGUCAAGGACUCAUUCAAGGUUAAAUUACUUUUAAAACCAUGAGCUAAAAAGUGGGUCAUGUUUUAAGUCACUUGUUUUGUAGGAUUUGUGAUAACAGUAUUAGAUUCAAAUAGACUCCUGCCCUUAAGGUCCCUUUUAUGUUAUUUUGUUUUUGUUUUUGUUUUGUUUUGUUGUUUGUUUGUUUGAUUUGCUUUUACAGCACAAUGAGAAUUCUGGGUUCUUAGCUAUGGACUGUGAGCCUUUGCCUAGACUUUCUCUCCCUAAUACCUCUUUUCCCUGCUGGGAGGAUAAGUUUCAUUCCAACAACUGUAUCAUUGUCUGCACAAUUGGGAAUAGGAGAUUUUAGUUAGAUGAACUAGAAAGGAAGAAGGGGAGAUAAGAUCAGGAGAUAAUCACUGAACCAGACAAGAUGGCAUCACUGAGCUUGUCUUGUAUCCUUGGGCACAAGGGCUUCCCCAAGCCAGGUAACCUCUUGUCUUCCCAGAUCGUGCAAAAGCCCACCUCUUCCCACAUGACCAAGUGUGGUGUCUUCAGUUCCCACAUACUGAGACUGUUAUGGUGACAGGGUCAAGUGAGCUUGUUCAAGCCUAUGCUGAACACAGUGACACCUCUCCAGGAUAUACCUUGGCAGCCAACACGGGCACAAGAACUUACAAAACCAUUUCAGCUAAGUGGAGAUAACACAGCAGAAACAGGGAAGAAAAGGCAGCAGAAGCUUGCUAACAUAUACACACACCUGAGCAUAACUUUGGAAGAGAAAGUUUGCAAAAACCAUACAUACACCAAGGAGCAGCCUUGGUGGGAAAACUGUGAGAAUUCCCAUCUGGAAAUCCUAUAAGGCAAAGAAACAUGACUAGUGUUCAGAAAAUGCCAAACUUAGUAAGCAGCUUUCAGAAACAAACUAUUUCCCUUCCAAAUGACAUCUCUCCAGCUUCCAAAUUUGCCUCUUCUCCUGAAUUCUCAGGGGAAACUCCAACUCAAUAUGUCUGAACUCACCUCUUCCCCAACCCCAUACAACAGUGAUAGCACACAGAAAUACCAACAUCUCCCUAAACACCCAGGCUAAAAUCCUGGUGGCAUAAACAUGUAGUCUUAAGUUCAAAUCCCAGCUCUGCUGACCUCUCAACCUUAGUUUCCCCACGUCUUAGUUCCUUUUCUGUUCCUAUGAGAAGACACCAUGACCAAGGCAACUUAUUGAAGGAAGAGUUUACCUGGGGCUUACAGUUUCAGAGGAUGAUUGUGUGAGCAUCAUUUAGGAAACCUGUUCACAGGCAGGCAGCCAUGCUGCUGGAGCAGCACUGAGAGCUUACAUCAUUAUCCACAAGUAGAAAAAAGAGAGAACUGGGAAUGGCUUGGGCUUCUGAAAUCUCAAUGCCCACCCCACAGUGACACAACUUCUACCAAAAAAGUCAUACCUCCUAAUUGUUCUUAAACAGUUCCACCAACUGGGGACCAAGUAUUUAAACAUAUGAUCCUAUGGCAAUAUUCUCUCUCAAUACACCACACACCAUCUGCCAACUGGAGACAAAUAAUCAUUUAUUUCAUGAGAAAAAUCUACAGAGAUCACAUUGAUUAAUUAGCUGCUUGUUGAAAACACAACUGGGGGUAACAAAUAUCACUUUAUUGUAACUAUUUGUGAUGUACAACAUUAAGGAAAUGCAGUGGUCACAAGAAACUUUAUCCACACUUAAUUAUUCUAUGGUAGCGGUUCUCAACCUUCCUAAUGAUGUGACCCCUUUAAUACAAUUUUUCAUGUUGUGGUGACCCUCAACCAUAAAAUGAUUUUCAUUGCUACUUCAUAACUGUAAUCUUGAUGACCUAUAGCUGCUAUCAACUAUAAUGUAAGUAUCUGAUAUGCAAUAUAUCUAAUAUGUGACCCUUGUGAAAGGAUCAUUCAACCCCAAAGGGGAAUGGACCCACAGGGUUAAAACCACUGCUCUUUGGGAUGCAAUCUGAUUUUUUUUAAUUUAUCUUUUUAAUUGGGUAUUUUCUUCAUUUACAUUUCCAAUGCUAUCCCAAAAGUCCCCCAGACCCUCCCCCGCCCCCUUUCUUCUACCCACCCACUCCCAUUUCUUGGCUCUGGCGUUCCCCUGUACUGAGGCAUAUAAAGUUUGCAAGACCAAGGGGCCUCUCUUCCCACUGAUGGCCAACUAGGCCAUCUUCUGCUACAUAUGCAGCUAGAGACACGAGUUCAUAUUGUUGUUCCACUAAUUUUUUUAAUGUUAUCUCUGAUAUUGAAAGCAAACUUCCCCUUUUCUUUGCUCCGCAUAUUACAUUUAGUAUAUAUUUACAUUUACUUUUAAGUUCUCAUUCAUUUCCUAUUAUCAAGCCAUCAAUAAAAACUUCCUCCAUCUUUAACUAUCAGUAAUUCACUGACCCCCUAAACCUCUACUAAAUCACCUUCAGGAAUAUCAUGUUGAGUGGUAGAAGCAUUCAAGGAUGUUUCUCUCCCCUAGCCUCUGGGUUUAAGCUCAUCAAGGUUGAGCAGUGGAAUCCUUCACUUUAAUUUGCUCAUAGGGACAAAAUCCUUGGACCUAAGAGGAAUUGGCAGUUGUCAUUUAAAUGAAUUACUAACUGGAUUAAAAGUCUUCACUGUACCCUGGUAUGUAUGGAUAAGGUAAUAUGACAUGCAACCUUGCUAGCCCAUUUCAGUGGCUUCCAGGUUGUCUAAACACAUUAAGCAUAUUCGAUCAGGAAUGAGGGUAGAUUUUAGUUGCUAUUUUCAAAGAACAAUUCAUUUAGUGUAAGUUCAGUGAAAAUGUAAAAUCUUUCAAGAAUGAGAAAAAGCAGAGGGUUGGAGCAGAUGUUAAAAUCGCUGAACCUGCAGUUCCCAGGAUGUUCCUGAAUGAAUGUGAACUUGACAGGCCCAGGAGGAAGAAAAAAGGAUCUCUCUCUCUCUCUCUCUCUCUCUCUCUCUCUCUCUCUCUCUCUCUCUCUCUCUCUGUGUGUGUGUGUGUGUGUGUGUGUGUGUGUGUGUGCUUGUAUGUGUGUCUCUGUCUCGCUGUCUAUCUCUUUCUCUCCCUACACUCACACAUACACACACACACACACACACACACACACUAGCUAUAAUAUAGACUCUCCCACAUUGCAAUCCGUCUUUACAAGGUCAGUGCCAAAUGAGCACAACCUUCAUCUGUCUGGUCAAGGUUAGUGGCUGAGGAUUUAUUUCCUUAUUGUUUCAAAUGGGUUAGAGGAGAAUGGUUUCUGCCACAGUACACCUACCUCUGAACAAGAGUGAUACAGGGCAGAGCAAUGAAAGUUGUUAUGUAGGUUGCAUAUGGGCUAAGCUGGAGUAUCACAUAUCUUGGAGGUCCUAAUGUGGGUCUAAUGUGGUACAAUUGUUCUUUAGCUAUAAAUCUAAGGAAAAGAUGAGAAGAGGCAUAUGUCUAGACAAGAGGACUGGGCUAGGAAUCUCGAGAUUUUGCUCAUUGAUGUUUGAAGUUACCAAAGCCACAUAGCCUUCUCAAGUUUUAAUUUCUUUUGACCUAUAAAAUGAAAGGUUGAAGCUAGAGUGACAGAACCAUUUAACAACUAUCAUGCCAUGAUAAUUCCAAAAUCACCAUUACCCAGAAUUUUCCCCCAGGGAUGAUGGAUCAUUUCAUCUAAGAUGAGUCCUUGGUUUUCCAGUUAAGAACAACUGAGCCAUCGCUUCAGCUCUGACACUGUUCCUCCUAGGAAGCUUCCUAGAAAUCAGGAAGCUUGCUUUUUCAUGACACAGGAUAGUUACGAAGCAAGACUGUGGUCUGUGUGGAUGAAAUCACAGAGUAAAAACAUUGAUAAACUUCAACUAAAAUUACAUGGGUGAGUGAGAAUAUUGACAGUGGUUUUCAGCUCAUAUUCAUUCUUGGGUUCAUAUUCUCUGCACUAAGAACUGAAAAAACAGUGCUCACCUCUCUGUGCCAGCCUUGCCAAUGCCUUCACGUGGGAUUAGGAAUGAAUCUGGAGCACAGAAAUGUCACUGUGUGUGGCCAAGCAGAUUUCAAUCAGAUACCAAUAUACAUGACCUCUUUGCUCAUCAUUUCUUCCUUUCAAGUCCACAUUCCAGGGAUCUACCUCGACUUUCCUAAUGGUGGGUAUUCAAUACACUAAUUAAUAAGUUUUAGUGUCAAGGGUGGGAUUUCUCUCCCCUCCAUAAAGAAGAAAGCUGGGAAGCCAAACAUAUCUGGCACAUGCAGGGUAGUCAGUGGUAAUUAUUAGAACCCAGUUAGAUUUAGGGUUAAGCUUAAGGUUGAGGAAAAGUUUGAGGAUAAGAUUAGAGGUAAGGCUGGUAUCAGGCUAUUUUUAUGAGUCAAUGUGAUUGAAUCAUAAAACGCCCAGAUAUUUUGGUUAAAUGUUUCUCUGGUUGUUCCUGUGGUAGUAUUCUUUGAUGAGAUUGAUAUUUAAAUUGGUAAACUGGGUAAAGUAGAUUUCCCCAAUGUAGAUGGUCCCUAUCCAGUCAAUUGAGGGCAUGGAUAGGAACAGUAAGCUGGCCCUCUCCCAAGUCAAAGGGACCUCUCUUCCCUUCUGGUUUUCAAACUAAGAUACUAACUUUUCCUGGGUCUCAUGCUAGUCAGCAUGCUGACAGAAACAUUGUUUUCUCUCCUGGGUCUCUGGCUUGCUGGCUCACUGUGGAGAUGCUGUGAGGGGUGGCCUCUUAUAAUCUUUCUCUCCCUACCCUUCCCCUUUCCCUCCCACUCUCCUUUCUCUCCCUCUUCCCUUCCCCUUCCCCCUUAUUCUUGCUCUCUCUCUCUCUUUCUCCCUGUCUUUCCCUCCCUCCAUCCCUCAUAUGUAUGGAUUCAUUUUAGUCUGUCUCCCCAGACAACUGACUAAUACAAUCAGAACAUCAUGAGAAUGAGAUUGGAGUCCCAGUGUGAGUAGAACUGGACUGCAUUUAGGGUUGUGGUGAUGCAGUAGAACCAUGGAACUUGGGUGCUGUUGAGGUUGACUUUGACCCAGAACUUUGCUUGGUGCAAGGCAAGGGGGAGAGAGAGAGGCAAACUAUCUGGAAUUGUUCCUAACCUUAAUAUUGUUGACAUGACCUUUAGCAAGUGGCCAGAACCCAUCACUGAGUGACCAUGUACCAAGUGAUAUUUUCUAUACUUUUAUUCAUGUAACAAAAGUAGCGAUCAUUGUUUUCAAAUCUCAGUGCUAGACUACGUUAAUUCUUGUGGCUAGUACUUCAUUUAAUCAUUUUAAAACAGAUAUUACCCCCUAUUGAAUUUUUACAAAGUCAGAAACUGAGGUCAAGUUUGAGGAAGGGUCAAGAAGAAAGGAAAAUUUAAUUAUUUUAAAGUAAAUAUCACUCCCUCAUAACUUUUAAAACAAAAUUAUAAACUGAAUUCAAGACUAACUAAGGGUCAAGAGCGAAUAACCAUGUCCAACAACCCAACCCUGUCUCCUCCCCUCUAACAGCACAGUAGUGAACUGUGAGACAGAGUUUCACUCUGUGGCCUAGGCUUGCUGAGAAUGUAUAGUAUAAUUCAGGCUAGCUUUGAACUCAAGGCACUUCUCCUGACUCAGCCUCAUGAAUAGUUCAAUUAUAGUUUUGAGGCACCAUGUCUGGAUAACAUGCCCAAAUUCUUAAAUGGAAGAGUAGUGUUUCAAUUCCAAAAUCAUUUUGGGGACAAAGUUCUAAAUGGAUGGUAAAGAAUUGGUUCUGUCCUCCAGAGGAGGAGGCCCACCUUCGCCUAAGUUGGGGCUCAGAAAAUGCUCCUGGCUAGUUGUAAGAGGCCGAGAAGUUGGGUGUUCUUGGGCAUCUGUGAAACCUUCCUCCUUGCCCUGGGCCAUAAUUUAUAGCUCACUUCAUGUACAAGGCUCCAGCAAGGCACACUUGCUUUCCAAAAGAGAUUUUACCUUCUCUGGUCCAAGCCACACACAGCCUUCUAGUCCAUUUCUGUUCUGUGAUAUCAGUAAUGAGUUAUUUCCUUCCUUAAGAACAGCCCCUACUGGGAUCUACCCAGUGAUGCAAUUUCUUUUAUUCUUUUUCUUUCUUUCAAAAGCCUCCUCCCAGAGACACAUAAAUGCUGGAUUCAUUAUAUCAAUUCUCAGGUAGAAGCCUGUGUUAAAGAGGCUUCGAUCGAUCUUUUAAAUAAAGCUGGCAAGAGAUUUCACUUACUCUGGGCUUUCUGUUCCCUAAUGUAGUCAGGCUGGCUUCUCCUCCUGGCUCAGCUUUACCAAGGAGCUGGGCACCUCUUUGCUCCCACCUGCUAUGGGUUGCCUCAUAACAAACAAACCUAGAAUUCUAACAGUCCUUUUAUCCGCAGAUUUUUAACUCUCACAAGGAAAAAGACAAGUUGUUCAAUGUCUACUUCCCUGCUGGGAGAAAUUGAGAAAAAGAAAAAUGAGAUAAAUUAAAUUAAAGAAAGACUCUAUUCUGAUUCCUAGGCAUUGCUUCCUCCUUCUGUGGGCUGGAGAUACUUUGGCCACCAGAGAAAGCCCCAGUGAUGCCCUUGCCCUAAGCCCAGUCUUUCCCUUCUCAAAUCCUUCAGAAUGGUUUUGUCCUCUAGCCUUAUGUCUCUUCUAAAGUAGCCAGGCAGCUAUGACUUCUGCACUGAUCAUCAAACUUGAUGGAUGAAAACUUUUGUAGCUGCUCUGCCUCUUGCCGGAUUAGGCAAGGUCUCUCACUACUCUGGGUCACAGUUCCCACAGUCUAUGAUGGAAUUCAAGGUGCAAAACCCACAACUGUGGUACUUUGGCACAUUCAGUAUCCAAAGGAAUUUGAGAAAUCUUAAAUUUUCUGACCUACCCAUGUAGCACAGUGAGUCAUAUGAUUCCUACAUGAGAAGCACAUCCUCUGUGCCUCACAUGUAACAGAAUAUACCUCUACUACUUUUCAUCCUCUAUUAUAUUACCCCCAUGAUUGUCCAUCCUUCAUCACCCUACCAUAAAAACAUUUGAUGUCUUCAUUUCGUUAUAAAAACUACCAUGUCAUAUAAAACUUACACUAAAUAGAUUUGUAUACUUUUUCCUUAAUAACCUGACUUUUGCUUAAAGGGGCUUCAGUGGCCAUGGAUUUAGAGCAGUAGAAAGAACAGAUAUUCUUCUUCUGUAUAUGUGCAAUUGAUCAAUGACUUAAAUCUAGGCUCUUGAGAUAUCCAUUAUGAAUUAUAACACACAAGUCACAAAAGAGGACAAAUGGAAGUAUCUAGUGAGACUCUUUAGGGAACCCAACAUCUGAUUCACCCUGCAGUAAGCAUCACAUGCAAUAUCCUCAAGAUUUCUCUAGCCUGUGUCCUGACUUUCUGUACUCAUUGUGACCUGGCCUUUGAGGUAGCGUUUACUCAACAAAGUGAAGUAGCCACUCAGGAAACAAGCUGAGGCAGAACUCCCCUUAUGCUCCCCAGGAAGUUCCCACUGGCCCUCAGAGAAGAUGAUGAUGGCUCCCUACUGCCAGUGACCACCAAUGCACAUCUCCUGAAAUGGUACAGAAACUGCCACUUCUCAAGAUGUGGGAAUCGGGUGCCCGGGGCACUCACGUGGCUCAUAUUUAUAACUUCUUGGUCCUUGACUAUGGGCCAAAUGUUACAUUCACCGCUAAUUUCCUAUUAAUUAGGUGCUGCAGUUUCUCAGCUAAAUGAAUAACCAGCCAGACAGGAGCCCUGAAGUUUAAAAAUACCAUCAGCUAUGGGUGUUAAUAGAAGCUGGGUAAGGAGGGGCUGAAGGCUAAGAGGAGAACCAGGAGAGCUGCUUCUGAAAUAACAAGAUUAUUAUGUACUGACCUUAGUGUGUCCUUAGUAGACUUCUAAGAGCAUCUCUAGCUCCUCUGGAUAAGAACAGCAUGAGGGAUCAUGGAUGAUCUAGGCAAGGUGGGCAACGGACCCUGCUGGCUUUUCAGCCACUGUCUCUCCUGCAAUGGUCUCUGAAUAGUUGACCUGUGUCACUUGGUCCUGUCCUACUUGUGGGCAGCUACAUGUAUAACUCUCUCCUUUCAUCUAAGGAUACUAAAAUACUUUCUUCAGGGUAACUGAAAUUCCAGGUCAUUCCAUAAGGGAGGCAAUGGCCACAACUAAGAUUGGAAACAUUUCUAGAAUUCUUUAACUGUUUACUAGAAGCCUUCAAGUAUUUUCUUCUCUUUUAUAUUUACAACCCAAUGAGGGAUAGAGGCCACCUACAAUGGAGGGAACCAAGACUUUUCAAACUUCAGUGCCUUGGUUGAGUCAAAGAUCUCAGGAGUGACAGAAAGAGGCUAGGUCACCCUCACACACUGGAAACCACCCUAACAAACCAACAUGAUGAACCUGUCUAUAAUCUUCUGAGUCUACAGUUGAGCCCAAAACAUAGAACCAGCUUCAGAAAUCUGGACAGGAUGAGAUAUGUCUGGAUAAGAUAAGAUAGAUAAGAUAAGGACAUGAGACCAUCAAUCAUGAGUCUAGCUUGUUUCUAGAAAAACUACAUAUUGUCAAGAACAAAGAGCUGCCAUCAAAAUGCUUCUAUUCAAACCUAGAUGUCACUCCACUAUGUUAGAAUUGAGCAAGGCAUUUUAUCCAGUCUCCCUCGUGCUAGUAUGAUAAUACUAGCAGUCAUCCUAUAAUGGUAGUAAUGGUCAUGACCACCUCAUUGUAUAUCCAUGGGGCAGAGAGUGGGGGAAUGGGAUGGCUCACAAAUGUACUUUGCAGAUAUUCUAGCCUUAUCCCAUGAGUCAAGCAUGAUGAUUCAAGCACCACCAACUCUAAUGUCUCAUCCCGCUGUCCCUCAAAGGUAAUACCUGAAUCAUCAUCCCAGAUAUGUUUGCUCUAGGGAUGUCUCAGAUUACAAAGACUGAUUCUUUGAUAAAUGCUUUAUAGGACAUUUCCUCUAGCACUAUGAAUGUCCUUCCAUACAUAAUUAAACUGAAUUGGUUACUGAAAGAAAUGAUAAAAACCCACAGUGGGAGGAAGACAGGAACUUAAAUAUUUUGUUAUGGUCCAGUUGUGUGUACAGAUACUUCCUGAUCUCUGGGGAACAGCAGGGGAACAGGAAAAGCAUAGCCCCACUGCUAGAGAGUAUCCCACUGAAGAAGUAAUGAGGAAUGGCCCAGGGACCCAGAAACAAUCAGUGAAGACAGACUAGCAAGGAAAGAAAGCUUUUUUUUUUUUUAAUUUUUAUUAGAUAUUUUCUUCAUUUACAUUUCAAAUGCUAUCCCAAAAGUCCCCUAUACCCCCCCCCCCCGCCCUGCUCCCCUACCCACCCACUCCUACUUCUUGGCCCUGGCAUUUCCCCUGUACUGGGACAUAUAAAGCUUGCAAGACCAAGGGGCCUCUCUUCCCAGUGAUGGCUGACUAGGCCAUCUUCUCAUACAUAUGCAGCUAGAGACACGAGCUCCUGGGGGUACUGGUUAAUUCAUAUUGUUGUUCCACCUAUAGGGUGGCAGACCCCUUCAGCUCCUUGGGUACUUUCUCUAGCUCCUCUAUUGGGGGCCCUGUGUUCCAUCCUAUAGAUGACUGUGAGCAUCCACUUCUGUAUUUGCCAGGCACUGGCAUAGCCUCACAAGAGACAGCUAUAUCAGGAUCCUUUCAGCAAAAUCUUGCUGGCAUAUGCAAUAGUGUCUGCGUUUGGUGGCUGAUUAUGGGUUAGACCCCCAGGUGGGGUAGUCUCUACAUGGUCCGUCCUUUCGUCUUAGCUCCAAACUUUAUCUUUGUAACUCCUUCCAUGGGAAAGAAAGAUUCUAAUGGUGUUUUUAUUGGUGCCCCCUGCAGGCCUGAUCCAGCAACAAAAUAAUAGUCAAAACAAAGAUUCUAUCCCAAACAAGGAUGGAGAUAUUCUGCCUGGGACUUCUAGGAAGGUCUCAUUCUGUGCCAAGGAGGUGCCUUGAAUUCACUUUAAAACCUCCCAAGGAUAUACUUAAAGCUUGCUUACUCCUAGAUUAUUAAGCAUAUAUCCUAGAAUUCCCGUAGAAUACUCUGACUCCAGAGCCUGCAGCUCUCACGUAAGCUUCUUUGUGUUAUUUAUGCCCCUAGGAGGAAAAUAUUUCCUUAAACAGAAAGCUCUACACCUUCUGCAAGUAUCUUAGAUUCUCUCACAAUAAUAGAGCAAGCCCUUAUUAGCAGACACAAACUAGCCUGUUCUUUAAAAACAAAAAAACAAAGCAAAACAAAACAAAACAAAAGGCCAGGCAGUAGUGGCACAUGCCUUUAACCCCAGCACUUGGGAGGCAGAGGCAGGCAGAUUUCUGAGUUCCAGGCCAGCCUGGUCUACAGAGUGAGUUCCAGGACAGCCAGAAACCCAGUCUUGAACCCCCCCCCCCCCAAAAAAAAGAGUGGACAUGAGAGGACUUUUAAGAAUAAAUGCAGAUAUAAUAGCAUAGACAAUGACAGCUCCUAGUGGAGUCAGGGAACAACCAAAGGGUCUAUAAAUAUUUACACCAAGAGCUAAGAAUCUGCAGUGACUGAGGUCACAGUGAUUAAAAACAGGCUUUGGCCUGUGGACUUCACUUACAGGCUUCUUUCUGCCCUUCCCCCUGACUCCUCACACAGACACACACAAGACCAUCAGAGGUGGAGAAGAUGACAAGUUCAGCUUUGAAGAGGCUGCUUCCUUUCAAGGAUGGCUCAGCUGGACUGUCCUAAACAAUGAGCAUGGGGAAGCUAUGAGAUUUCAAGGGUGUUCUUGCAAGAAUCUGUAAUGCAGAUGACUACUUUCUCCAGCACUGACACUUGCUUAUAAAUGAAGAAACUACUACAGUGAAUAAUGCCCCUUAUGAGUGGCCACUCCAUCUUCUAUCAGAGUAUUUUCCAGUCACUGAUCUUCCGUCCCUGGAGGAAUGAGGCACAUCCAUCAAUAAGAAGGGGUAAAAGGUCCUCUAUAAGUUCCAGCAAUAUGGAGGCUUAGAUUUAUAACUAUAAUGGCUCAUUGAGUUCCAAGUCAAUAAAAAGCUAUUUUUAAUACUAUU